UAAAUAGUCAGGCUGGCUUUUGCUGGUCGCAGACUUCUUAGAGGGACUGUCAGUGUCUAACUGACGGAAGUUUGAGGCAAUAACAGGUCUGUGAUGCCCUUAGAU
rnacentral:rRNA from 1 species